rnacentral:rRNA from 1 species
GACUGGAGAACUUGCAGAGGAUACUGCAUGUCUUGGGACCGGGAGGGGCCGAGGGUACUCACGGGGUAGGGGUGAAAUCCUGUAAUCCCGUGGGGACCACCUGUGGCGAAGGCGCUCGGCUGGAACGGUUCCGACGGUGAGGGACGAAAGCCAGGGGAGCAAACCGGAUUAGAUACCCGGGUAGUCCUGGCUGUAAACGAUGCUCGUUAGGUAUUGGCUUCUCCUCGGGAGGAGUCAGUGCCGUAGCGUAGGCAUUAAGCGAGCCGCCUGGGGAGUACGGUCGCAAGGCUGAAACUUAAAGGAAUUGGCGGGGGAGUACACAAGGGGUGGAGUCUGCGGUUCAAUUGGACUCAACGCCGGGAACCUUACCAGGGGCGACGGCAGGAUGAAGGUCAGUCUGAAGGGCUUACCAGACGCGCUGAGAGGUAUUGCAUGGCCGACGUCAGCUCGUGCCGUGAGGUGUGCCGCUAAGCCGGUUAACGAGCGAGACCCGUGCCCUCUGUUGCUACCUCCAUCUUUUGGUGGGGGGGCACUCAGAGGGGACUGCCUGCGUUAAGCAGGAGGAAGGUGCGGGCGACGUUAGGUCAGUAUGUUCCGAAUCCCCUGGGCUACACGCGGGCAACAAUGGCCGGGACAAUGGGAUGCGACCCCGAAAGGGAAAGCCAAUCCUCGAAACCCGGUCUCAGUUCAGAUCGAGGGCUGCAACUCGCCCUCGUGACGCCGGAAUCCCUAGUAGUCGAACGUU